GAUGAAUGCUGGCGGCGUGCCUAACACAUGCAAGUCGAGCGGCAGCGAGUUUUACACUGAAUUCUGGAAGCUUCUGAGUAGUACAGAAGAUUUAUUCAAGAGUUUUGUGUAAAAUGUCGGCGAGCGGCGGACGGCUGAGUAACGCGUAGGAAUUUGCCCCAAAGUGAGGAAUAACUGCCCGAAAGGGUAGCUAAUGCGGCAUAUGGUCUUCGGAUUAAAGCCUUCGGGCGCUGUGGGAGAAGCCUGCGUUGGAUUAGGUAGUUGGUAGGGUAAUAGCCUACCAAGCCGACGAUCCAUAGCUGGUCUGAGAGGAUGAUCAGCCAGACUGGAACUGAGACACAGUCCAGACUCCUACGGGAAGCAGCAGUGAGGAAUCUUCCACAAUGGGCGAAAGCCUGAUGGAGCAACGCCGCGUGAAGGAUGAAGGCCUUCGGGUUGUAAACUUCUUUUAUGAGUGAAGAAUAUGACGGUAACUCAUGAAUAAGCACCGGCUAACUACGUG
rnacentral:rRNA from 1 species